UACGAAGGGGGCUAGCGUUGCUCGGAUUUACUGGGCGUAAAGGGCGCGUAGGCGGACAGUUUAGUCAGAGGUGAAAGCCCAGGGCUCAACCUUGGAAUUGCCUUUGAUACUGGCUGUCUUGAGUACGGGAGAGGUGAGUGGAACUCCGAGUGUAGAGGUGAAAUGCGUAGAUAUCUGGAGGAACACCGGUGGCGAAGGCGACAUCCUGGACCGGUAUUGACGCUGAGGCGCGAAAGCCAGGGGAGCAAACGGG
rnacentral:rRNA from 1 species